rnacentral:rRNA from 1 species
AUUGAACGCUGGCGGCAGGCCUAACACAUGCAAGUCGAGCGCGAAAGGCUUUCGGGCUGAGUAGAGCGGCGGACGGGUGAGUAACGCGUAGGAAUCUACCUGGUAGUGGGGGACAACUUGGGGAAACUCAAGCUAAUACCGCAUACGCCCUAUGGGGGAAAGUGGGGGACCUUCGGGCCUCACGCUAUCAGAUGAGCCUGCGUAGGAUUAGCUAGUUGGUGAGGUAAAGGCUCACCAAGGCGACGAUCCUUAGCUGGUCUGAGAGGAUGAUCAGCCACACUGGGACUGAGACACGGCCCAGACUCCUACGGGAGGCAGCAGUGGGGAAUAUUGCGCAAUGGGGGCAACCCUGACGCAGCCAUGCCGCGUGUGUGAAGAAGGCCUGCGGGUUGUAAAGCACUUUUGUUCGGGAAGAAUCAUGUCGGUUAAUACCCGAUGUGGAUGGACGGUACCGAAAGAAUAAGCACCGGCUAACUUCGUG